AUAAUUAGUUCUUGAUUUUACAGAUCUAACAUCUGUUCUUUAGUUUUUCUCUUUGAAGACAAAAGACGGAUACAAAAAUGGUUAAAAUUGGAUUAACAAUCGUUGUAAUGGUCGGAUUAGCUACAAUAUUACCAUCCGAAGCUUGGUUUUUUCGAAAUCUCUUUAAUGGAGGUGACAGACAUUGUUAUUGUAAAGUUGUUGAUAACGACAACCACGACAAAAUUCUUCAUAAUUUUGGUACAGUCGAUAAAUGUCAUGGUUGGCCAAUUUGUGCUUGCUACAGAGCCGAGAUAACAAAUUGCAAAUCAACUUGCGAGGACAAACUUGAGCUCUGGGCAAAGGACCACUGUCCUCAGCAUUUGAAGGGGAAACAUCUUAUAGGAAAAUACAAAGGAAGCACAUGUAGGGGACGUGAGGGAUAUACCAAAACACCUGAACUGUGCAAAUAGCUUGAACGGAAUAAAACCACCCUGUAUCCAAUAAAUGGAACGGGACAAAGUGACACUAUAUCCAAUUGAUUAAAUAAAUAUAGUAGCAUUUGAA